rnacentral:snoRNA from 1 species
AUGGCGUGAUGAUGGCACUUUCGCAAUAACUCUUUGAACCGAUCCCAUGCAUCAUAUAAAGAUUCUUCAUCAAGUUGCUAAAAUGAAGUGAUUUCAUUUCAGAUCUU